GACGAACGCUGGCGGCGUGCUUAACACAUGCAAGUCGAACGAUGAAAGAGGAGCUUGCUCCUCUGGAUUAGUGGCGAACGGGUGAGUAACACGUGAGCAAUCCGCCCCUGACUCCGGAAUAACUACGGGAAACUGUAGCUAAUACCGGAUAUGCGCCGAACAGGCAUCUGUAUCGGUGGGAAAGAAUUUCGGUCAGGGAUGAGCUCGCGGCCUAUCAGCUUGUUGGUGAGGUAACGGCUCACCAAGGCGACGACGGGUAGCCGGCCUGAGAGGGUGACCGGCCACAUUGGGACUGAGACACGGCCCAGACUCCUACGGGAGGCAGCAGUGGGGAAUAUUGCACAAUGGGCGCAAGCCUGAUGCAGCAACGCCGCGUGAGGGAUGACGGCCUUCGGGUUGUAAACCUCUUUUAGCAGGGAAGAAGCGAAAGUGACGGUACCUGCAGAAAAAGCGCCGGCUAACUACGUG
rnacentral:rRNA from 1 species